GAUGAACGCUGGCGGCGUGCCUAAUACAUGCAAGUCGAGCGAACGGACGAGAAGCUUGCUUUUCUGAUGUUAGCGGCGGACGGGUGAGUAACACGUGGAUAACCUACCUAUAAGACUGGGAUAACUUCGGGAAACCGGAGCUAAUACCGGAUAAUAUUUUGAACCGCAUGGUUCAAAAGUGAAAGACGGUCUUGCUGUCACUUAUAGAUGGAUCCGCGCUGCAUUAGCUAGUUGGUAAGGUAACGGCUUACCAAGGCAACGAUGCAUAGCCGACCUGAGAGGGUGAUCGCGGAGCAGGGAGUUGAGACAGCGUGCAGAAUCCAGAGGGAGGAAGAAGUAGGGAGUGUUGCGGAAUGGGCGUAAGCCUUACGGAGCAACGCAGCGUGAGGGAUGAAGAUAUUAGGAUUGAAGAAAUCUGUUAUUAGGGAAGAACAUAUGUGUAAGCAAGGGUGAACAUGUUGACGGGCCCUAAUAAGAAAGGCGCGGCUAACUACGUG
rnacentral:rRNA from 1 species